UGAAAGAAAUUGAGGGGAGAGGAAGACGAUCGAGAAAUCUAAAAGAGGAGAAAGACGAGAGAGCGGCUAACCUCUCGCGGCGCUUUUGUUCUUUCUUCGUUCUCGUUCCUUCUCUCUUUCUCUUUCUCUUUCUAUCUCUUUCUUUCUUUCUUUCUUUCUAUCUCUCUCUCUCUCUCUCUCUCUCUCUCUCUCUCUUUCUCUGUUGGUUCAUUCCUCUAGUUCCCACACUCUCCACAGUUCGCCGCCGUUCCGUUUCGUUAUCUCUUCGAAAGCAGCGAAACGCGCGACAUACUUUGCUCCCGAUUUGUCUCUUCUAACAUCGCAAAAUCUGUUAAAUAUGUUCUUUUACGUACGUAGAUAUGUACGUAGAUAUAUUCAAACGUGUCCAUAUGUAGAUAGAAUGAACGAAAGAUUAAAAGAAGAAUGUAUUUAUCGAAGAUUACAAAAAUUAAAAAAAGAAAGAAGAAAGUAUUAGCCUCUAGAAAGUAUCGACGAAUAAAAGAGUAACCGAUCUUUUUUUACUACCAACGUACUUUUGGCUUAUUUUCAAUAUAAAUGUGGAUAUAUAUGUAUGAAAGACCACGUAUAAAUAUCGCGAUGCUUCGGUUUCCUUCCCAAUGGCCGACGUUGUUUCAUGUUCCAUCGCGCGAUCUAGACUUUCACCUUUUUGCCAAGAGACGAAGAAGGAAAUAACAGAUGAAAUCGUUGGAUCGUCAAUAACCACGACAGUGAUCGAUCAAUUUCUCUCACCAAAUUUCAAUCUUCAAACCAAAAAAACAAUUACGUAUCCUAGAUAUAUGAUAAAUGAAUGAUUAAAAAAAAAAAAACGGAAAAAAAAGAAAAGAAGAAAAAAUCCAGACGAAGAAAAAGAAAAAAAAGAAUAAGAAAAAGAAAACGAAGAAGAAGAAGAAGAAGAAGAAGAAGAAGAAGAAGAAAAUGCAGGGUCAGCGAGUGACUUUGACGAAAGGCAUUCCACAGGUGGUUUCGAACUCCCUACGUGCAACAACGUGCAUAGUACGUAUACAAUCACACAGUGGUAUAUAUAUAUAUAUAUAUAUACUUUCGAAAAAGUCCUCUCCCAAGCGAUUUAUACGUUUCCCAAUGACGUCAAUAAUUCUUCGAAGUGUCUGUGUGUGAUCGAGCAAAUCGUCCCAACGCUCCCCUCCCCUCCCCUCCAACAAUCCAUCC